CCUGACCCUCAGCAGCUAAAUGGCAAUGGGAACGGGAAGUGCCCUAUUUUUGUUUGCUUCACUUGCCCCCCUAUUUAACUUGGAUAAACGCACGGAUGGCACUUCAACUCCAGAUCACCUGACACUGAAUGGGGCGCUCAGUUUGAGGCCUUGUCAAUCCCAAUCCGUUCGCAUCAAGUAAAGCUUUCACCCGACCGAAGCAAAAAGGUUUUGGUCUUCGGAAUGAGUUUACUCAAAAGCUUUCGGCCAAGCGUAAGUGGCCAGAUACUUGGAAUAUCCCCCAUAAGCCGCUGAUUAAUUUGAAAGGCGAGUUCUUGGAAAUGCAAACAUCCCGUUGGAUGAAUCAUCCAUCGAUAACGAUAUGAUUUAUUAGAGUUAAUUACUUAUUCAUCUAGUUUCAGUUGAACUGGCAUUUGAAUGCAUAUGCGCACAAAGAUAUCUUUCA